rnacentral:misc_RNA from 1 species
CACCACUCAAGCCUCGCUUGGUAUUGGGCGCCGGGUGAUGCACCCGCGCCUCGAUUUCACCGGCUGGACCGUCCGAUCCUCAGCGUAUGCACUCAUUCCGCUACAGGACCUCGGGUGGCCUAUGCCGUUAAAUUCUUUAUCACA